rnacentral:tRNA from 1 species
CCUUUCUUAGCUCAGUUGGUAGAGCGGCCCCCUGAAGAGGGGCGCGUCGGUGGUUCGAAUCCAUCAGGAAGGACCA